GAGCCACAGAGGGCACCUCGCCCGCGGACAGGCCACAGGGCCCUGUAGGGGAUUGCACACGAGGAGACCAUCCUCUUCCCCGUCCAAGCAGGACGCGUCGGGUUUGUAUUUUUCAGGAGGUGACAGGCCCAGGUGACAGGCGUCCGCCAGGAUGUUGGGGCCAGCGGGGGUGACCGGCAGGCUCUGACCACAUGAGAUAUGCACAUCAAUAAGAUAACACACUCGGCGGGGGCCUCCCAGUAUUAAGUGCUUGGUAAACAUGGGAGGCAGGCACGCCUGUUCUCCGAAUCGCGGCUGUGAGUCUGAGCUGUCGGAAACGGGCUACACACAGCGCCCUCCAGGGUCACCUGGAGGUGACCUCUCGUCCAGCCAAGUCCUGCACAGAGUCAGGGUCCGGUGAAGGAAGGGCGACUUCACUCACUCAACACGGAGCCACCCUGUGUCAGGGCCGCUGUGACAUAAGCCUUUUUGUUUCUGGCGUUUUAUCUCCUGCUCCAAGUUUGAAGCCCAUGAGAGGAAAUUAUGUUUUGGGUCCUUCUCGGCGCUGCUGACGCUGGGCUGAGGCGGCGUUCCCAGGUAGGGGGGCUCCUGUAUUCCUGGCCACGGCUUCAGAGGGGCUGGGGCUGGAGGUCACGAGCGAAACCCGCAGACAAUUUUGCUGUGGUCACAAAGUGGCCAAGCGGCUGCCAGGCUGAGGCCCAAAGGCCCCACUGUGCCACCGAGAAGAGCACAAGGCAGCGUCCAUGUGGAAAGCGGAGGCAGAGCCCCAGCCCCUUGCUGCCCGGCUGCAGUGGGGGAGAGCCCAGCGGGACCCCGGCGCGCGACCCAGUCCCUCCCUGUCCUGGGUGAUGGCUGGGGAACAAAACAGCCUCUCCCCGUAACACCCAUCCUGGGGACCAGCCUUGUCCUUCUACUCCCCACACGCCCUUCCCCCAGGGCCCUGGCCACCACGCUCAGACCCAUUCCUGGAGCACCCACCGGGUGCAGUGUGUGCCAGUGGCGUCCAGUCCAUCUGGAAGUGCUGUUGUAUCCCCAGUGGAAAAGCCGGGCACAGGGAUGGCAGGCAACUCGCUUGAUCUCACAAGGUGGUGGCGUGGCCAUGCCUGGGUCUGGCUUCUGCCCGUCUCGCUCUUGGCCACCUCUACCCAGGCACCCUGGGUUCCCAGCACCCACUGCCUUUGGCUGCCCCCGGCCCCCGAGCCUGGGAGGCCUCCAUGCCCGGCCAUCCCCUCAACAGCGCUCAGAGCCCAUCUGGCCCGAGACUCACAGACGUGGGAGGGCACCCGGGACCUGGGACCCCGCACAGCAGGGCAGACGAGUGCCGAGAGGGAAGAAAGCGUGGGGACAGCAGGGCUGCAGGGGCCAGGAAUGAGGGGCGGGCUAUGCCCAUCUUUUUGCAUCAAGCCAGGGAGUCGGGAUUUUUCUCUUAGACUUCUGUCCUGAGAAGCCACGCAAAGUUCUAAGCCCAGGUGAGUGAUGGAAUUUACCACUCACCCUAGGUGGAAGUGUCCCGGAGGGGCUGUGUUUCCCCAGGCAGAGAAGAGGCGGGGAUGCGGGGGGCACGGCCAGGAGGGAAGCCAGGGCAUGAGCAGAGCCGGGAGGCCCGGGAGGCCCUGUGCGCAGGGGUGGGGUUGGCCCAGAGAGCCGGCGCUCCGGGGGCUCAUGCCUAAAGGCGGGUUUCCCUAAUGCCUUGAAACUGCCUCUGCAAAGAGAAGACAUUUCCGAGUCUUGGGAGAGAGAACUGAGUGAAUGCGAGUGAUGAGCACCUGCUGAUGUGUGUGCCCCACUGGACCCCAGCCCAGCCACGGUGCCCAACUCUGGCUCUGGGGGGCUUUCAACCUGACCGAGAGCGGCACUUGGCAGAGACCCUCCUCGGGAGGAAGACAGGGCCAUGUCGCAGGCUGGCCCGGGGCAGCCGGACACCCCAAAGGAUAAUCAGGCGUUUAUGCCGGAGCCCGAGGGAGCCAGGGAGGCCAGGGGCAGGCAGCAGAGAAUUUGCCCCGCCCGCCACAGGCAGGCCGGCCCGCCCAGCCGAGGCCCAAUGGCGAGGCAGGAUCAACACCCGCACGGAGCUCUCUCGAGCCAGAAGUUGGAAUGCCACACGUGGCAAACAGUUAAUGAUCAACUGGUCACCCUUAUCCACAGGGUGAUACUCAUGGGGCUAUGAAAUGUGUACAAUAUCUGCCCCCGGCCGGAGGACACAUGGCCUCCCGGGAGCGAGCACUGCUUGGUGUCCCCUUUGGGUCACCUUGUUCUGGAAGGUAGGCCUGGGGGAGCUACCCUGUGGGACAAUUUUCCCUAGCAAGCCAUUUAGCUGGAAAGAUUCCCACACACUCAGCUCCGCCCCAGCCUCCCAGCCCGGCCAAGACCCCCUCCCCCGGGGCCGUGCUAAAGGGGCCCGUGUUCCUUCCCCAGGUGCGUAGUUUGUGAAAAAGGCUGGAGCAGCUUAAGCAGGGAAACGGGCGAGCCGGGGACUGGGUGGCUGCCCCAUCCUUGGCCACCUCCGGCCAUCCCGCCCAGACACCUGGGAGGGCAUUUUCUGCCAGGGCUGCUGACUUUGGUCAAUUUAUAUGCUAAUUCCAGAAAUGAUUCUUCCUACAUUAAAUAAAAGCUGAGGAAUGUUCCAAAGGUCCGAACAGACUGUGCCGUUGACAGACAGGGGAAAGUGGCAGAGGUGCUGGCCACGGGAGUUCCAGGCGUGUGAGCUGUUCUCAGCGCACACACUUGCCUAAUUUUAGGCCCACGUGCUCCUUCAGCUGACUUGGCCAAAAUAAAACUGCUUCGGCAUCUAAAGCCUCCAAGUGCCCAUCUCGACCUUGGGGUCUUCUUCCAGAAUAACCUUUUGAGAACGCAAAGAUUACAAAACAACAUCGGAGGGCUCCGCAUCAAGCCUGCACCCCCAGAGCGGUCCACUGACUCUGGGUCACCCCGAUCCAUCUUGGCUUAGAGAAGCCCACCCUGACCGCCAGAUGAGGCGACACCCUGGCUAUACACCCAGUGGGCACUGCUUCCUUCCUGCCGCUCCUCACAAUCCUAGGGGAACUUUUUACAUAAUAACUUGUUCAGUGCCUGUGGCUACCUUCCAAUGGGCAUGGGCACUACACGGCCUGGGUCCUGGCGGCCCCGCUUCCAAGCGGAAGACCAGAACCCAAACAGACCCCACCAUCUGCCACACUGCUGCACUGCUUGUGCCCCUGCACUCCAUGCCCUCUUGUGUCCAGCACGUGGCCCUGGGCACAUGGGCUCAGGCAUCCAUCAGGUAAGAAGGGCAAGAGGUACCCACCUGUGACGUCCAUCAGAGAGGAGACCCUACUCCCCAGAAUCCAUGCCACCUGGGACUUCAGAAGGGGAGACACACGGAGAAGAUCAGGCCGUGCGGAGACGAGGCAGAGGCCAAGGGACACGGCUGCAGCCAGGACGCCUGGUCCCCCGCAGCUGGAGAGGCACAAAGGGCCCUCCCCUGGGGCCUCCAGGUGGAGUGCAGCCCUGCCACAUCUAGAUCUUGGAGUUGUGGCCUCCAGACAGUGAGACAAGAUACUUCUGUCAUUCAAAGCCCCCAGGUAGCAGUACUUCAUCACAGCCACCCCAGGAAGUCAGAACAACGUACCAGCAGCCUGUGUUUGGGGAGAGCCAUGCCAGCCAGCUCCUACCCUGCCACAUGAACUUCCCUUUCUGGCCAUAUGUCCAGUCAACUGGGGAUGUUCUGGGAAAAAAUAUAGGUGCCAGAGCUCCACCAGGGACACAGGCCCCAGGACCCUGAAGGAUGGUGUUCCGCUCACAACCAGCCAGGCACAGUCCUCCCAGAGCCCCACAGUGUCCAGCCUGGAGUCCCCUCCCCUGGCCACUGUGCACCACGGACAGGCCGGAGCGGAGAUCCCGUCCCGAGCACCCUCACAGCCAGCAGUGGGCAGAGUCACUGCCUUUUAGUUAUGAAGCAAAACAAUGCACCCCAUGGAAAGCAAGACCGCGGGGCCCCAAUGUCCCCAACACAUUCUUUGCAUCUCAAAAAAUGCCAGAGGAUCUGAUCCGAGAAGCUACUUUCCCAGGGGCUCUCUGGCGGGGCCUGUGAAACCUUCGUGGAGCCCACGGAGCCCAGUGCUUCUCACAGGAGCCCCGGGGUAUCCGGCUGGGCCCCACCUGCCACCAGCCCGCGCUGGGCUCUGGACUGGGAAUCAGCCGGUUCUCCCGCAUGCCACCUUUGGACCUGCCCCACGGUGACGAGCCCCCCGUCGCUCUGCGCUGUCCUCCCUGGGGUGACUCCUAACCCUCCCUUCUGUCCCAUGACCUGGCCAGCACUUUGGUGUCUGGAAGCAGCUGGCCCAGGCGUGCACAGAAUUACGGGGGCUUUAUUCCACGAUGGUCUGAGCUUCGGCUCCCUCCUCUGUAAGAUGGAAGCGAGAAUACUCGAUCGUGCAAGCAAGUAUGAUGAUGAAGAGCGAGCCCCGGGCCGGCACUGGGGGAAGCAGGCCCGGGGGCCUCAGGGUCUGCACCAGGUAUGGGCCAGCACUGCGUUUAUUGGACCCUUUUUCCAAGCACAUGGGUUCAGGCCCCUUUUAUUCCCCUCCUUGUCAAUGUCCCUGGAGCAUGAAAUGGUGAGCCAGGAACUUGCCUGUCCUCAAGAGGGGCUGAGCCUGGACAAAGAACAGGUGGGGUGUGGCCCCUUGGUUCCUCAUGGCCUGUCAUCCUAGCUACGUCCUGGUGCCACUGAGCCCAGUACUCCUGGGCCUGGCGCUCCUGGGCCUGGGUGCACCUCACGGAGCCCCAUCCCUCCCUCCAGACCACUUGUGGUCCAGCACCUGUGGGGCUAGAGAAGCCAGACUCAUGUCCUGGACCCUGUUCCUCUACCAGCCAGGCAUGACGGUCUGUGAGCCCCAGGUGCAGGUGACAACGGGCUUCUCCUGCAAAAGGUGCAGCAGACCCCACAUCUGAGAGCAGGACCAGGGUCCCUCCCAGCCUGAACCCUACCUGGGCCAGGUGGCCGCACAUCCCCCGGAAUGAAAGGACACACUGGGGAGCUUCCCUCCCUCACCCCCACACCCUGGCUGCUCAGAGGGGGACUUGGAGGCUGGGCACACGGUCAGGCACCCAUUCACUCGUCAUUCAUUUGGCCAGCAGGUGCUACAGAGCACAUACUAGAUGCCAGGCAGUAUUCUGGGCACCAGGGAUUCAGCAGUGAAUAAAAUAAAG